rnacentral:lncRNA from 1 species
AAGUUAUCCCCGCUAUUCCGCCAAACGGAAUUAUUUUUACCGGAAUAUUUUAUUCCGGUCAAAGCUUGCUAUUCCCGGUUAUCCCGAAAUAGCAAGCUUUUUACUAUUCCACCAUUUUAGUGGAAUAGUGCAAUUCCCAUGCUUAAUUUCAAACUUAAUUAAAAUUAUAAAAUAAAUUAAAAUUAAAUUAUAUAAAUAUAAUAUAUUAUAUAUUAUAAUACAUUAUUUUAUUAUAAAAUUAUUAAUUGUGCUAUACUAAUACAUAUUAUUUAUAUUUAAAUAUUAUAAUAAAUUUUAUAAUAAAUUAUAUUUAAAUAUUAAAAUAAAUUAAAAUUUAAAAUUUAAAUAAAUUUAAAAUUUAAAAUAUUAUAAUAAAUUAUAUUUAAAAUUUAAAAUUUGUAAUCUCAAA